AUGGGAUUCAGGGACCUCCAAUCCUUUAAUCUUGCGAUGCUCAUGAAACAAAGUUGGAGACUUAUUACUAAUCCAGACUCCCUUUCUGCGAGAGUUCUUAAGGCCAAGUAUUUUCCUAAUGGAACCCUUCAGCAGGCUACUCCAAAGAAUGGUUCUUCUUUCACCUGGCAGAGUAUACUAAAGGGACUUGAAACUUUUAAUCUUGGUUAUAUCUGGAGGAUUGGGACCGGCGAGAUGGUCAAUAUUUGGAAUGAUCCAUGGGUCCCAGCUAGUCCGAAUAGAAGAAUUAUCACUGCACACGCCAAACGAUUGUAA
rnacentral:rRNA from 1 species